rnacentral:rRNA from 1 species
GACGAACGCUGGCGGCGUGCCUAAUACAUGCAAGUAGGACGCAGUUGCGAACGGGAGAGUAACGCGUAGGUAACUACCUAUUAGAGGGGGAUAAAAAUUGGAAACGAUAGCUAAUACCGCAUACUAGUAGAUGGACCUGCGUUGUAUUAGCUAGUAGGUAGGGUAAUGGCCUACCUAGGCAACGAUACAUAGCCGACCUGGGGGGGUGAUUGGCCCACCUGGGACUGGGACACUGCCCAGUCUCCUACGGUGGGCAGGAGUAGGGAAUCUUCGGCAAUGGGGGGAACCCUGACCGAGCAACGCCGCGUGAGUGAAGGAGGUUUUCGGGUCGUAAAGCUCUGUUGUUAAGGAAGCGGUACUUAACCAGAAAGGGACGGCUAACUACGUGCCAGCAGCCGCGGUAAUUC